rnacentral:rRNA from 1 species
GAUGAACGCUGGCGGCGUGCCUAAUACAUGCAAGUCGAGCGAACGGACGAGAAGCUUGCUUCUCUGAUGUUAGCGGCGGACGGGUGGGUAACACGUGGAUAACCUACCUAUAAGACUGGGAUAACUUCGGGAAACCGGAGCUAAUACCGGAUAAUAUUUUGAACCGCAUGGUUCAAAAGUGAAAGACGGUCUUGCUGUCACUUAUAGAUGGAUCCGCGCUGCAUUAGCUAGUUGGUAAGGUAACGGCUUACCAAGGCAACGAUGCAUAGCCGACCUGAGAGGGUGAUCGGCCACACUGGAACUGAGACACGGUCCAGACGCCUACGGGAGGCAGCAGUAGGGAAUCUUCCGCAAUGGGCGAAAGCAUGACGGAGCAACGCCGCGUGAGUGAUGAAGGUCUUCGGAUCGUAAAGCUCUGUUAUUAGGGAAGAACAGAUGUGUAAGUAACUGUGCACAUCUUGACGGUACCUAAUCAGAAAGCCACGGCUAACUACGUG